rnacentral:rRNA from 1 species
UCCUUCNGGGNUUNNCGUUNUUCGGAAUUACUGGGCGUAAAGCGCGCGUAGGCGGAUUAGAAAGUUGGGGGUGAAAUCCCGGGGCUCAACCUCGGAACUGCCUCCAAAACUGCUAGUCUUGAGUUCGAGAGAGGUGAGUGGAAUUCCGAGUGUAGAGGUGAAAUCCGUAGAUAUUCGGAGGAACACCAGUGGCGAAGGCGGCUCACUGGCUCGAUACUGACGCUGAGGUGCGAAAGUGUGGGGAGCAAACAGG